GCUGGGUGCAGUGGCAUGUGCCUGUAGUCCCAGCUACUUGGGAGGCUGAGUGGGAGGAUUGCUUGAGCCCGGGAGUUCUGGGCUGUAGUGUACUAUGCUGAUCAGGUGUCCGCACUAAGUUCAACAUCAAUAUGGUGACUUCCCUAGAGCGGGGGACCACCAGGUAGCCUAAGGAGGGGUGAACCAGCCCUGGUCAGAAACAGAGCAGGCCAGCCGGGCGUGGUGGCUCACGCCUAUAAUCCCAGCACUUUGGGAGGCUGAGGCAGGUGGAUCACGAAGUCAAGAGAUCGAGACCAUCCUGGUCAACAUGGUGAAACCCCAUCUCUA
ensembl:misc_RNA Metazoa_SRP Metazoan signal recognition particle RNA